rnacentral:rRNA from 1 species
UACGAAGGGGGGCUAGCGUUGCUCGGAAUCACUGGGCGUAAAGGGUGCGUAGGCGGGUCUUUAAGUCAGAGGUGAAAUCCUGGAGCUCAACUCCAGAACUGCCUUUGAUACUGAGGGUCUUGAGUAUGACAGAGGUGAGUGGAACUGCGAGUGUAGAGGUGAAAUUCGUAGAUAUUCGCAAGAACACCAGUGGCGAAGGCGGCUCACUGGGUCAUUACUGACGCUGAGGCACGAAAGCGUGGGGGAGCAAACAGG